AUGAACGCUGGCGGCGUGCUUAACACAUGCAAGUCGAACGAUGAAAGCGGGAGCUUGCUCCUGCUGGAUUAGUGGCGAACGGGUGAGUAACACGUGAGUAACCUGCCCUUGACUCUGGGAUAAGCGUUGGAAACGACGUCUAAUACCGGAUACGACCUUCGGAGGCAUCUCCUGAAGGUGGAAAGAAUUUCGGUCAAGGAUGGACUCGCGGCCUAUCAGCUAGUUGGUGAGGUAAUAGCUCACCAAGGCGACGACGGGUAGCCG
rnacentral:rRNA from 1 species